UCGACCCUGUUUGGGGCGUCUUCGAUCUCAUCCACUGGUUCGUCACUUUUUGGGGCGGCUUCGCUCUCAUCCACCGGUUCGACAUUGUUCGGGGCGCCUUCGGUCUCAUCGAGUCCUUCCCCUGCAUUUUCUACUUCAGCCCCUUUUGGGUCUUCUUCCUCUUCUUCGGCUGUGAUUUCUUCUACUACAACUCCUUCCACUGCUAACACCUUGUUUGGGGCAUCUUCGGCUUCGGCUUCUACCGCUAGUGCCUUGUUUGGGGCUUCUUCAGCUUUGGUGUCUACUGCUACUGCUAAUCCAUUGUUUGGGGCUUCUUCAGCUUCGGUUUCUACUGCUACUGCUAGUCCAUUGUUUGGGGCUUCUUCGGCUUCGGUUUCUGCUGCUACCCCUGCCUUUUCGUCUCCGUUGUUUGGGGCUUCUUCUCCUGCACCUCCCUUUGGACCUUCUUCUUCGUCUUCUACUUCGGCUUCAACUGCUCCUUCUGUCCCCAAUUU
rnacentral:lncRNA from 1 species